rnacentral:pre_miRNA from 1 species
AUAUGAAUCAUCUAGGGAUCUUGUUAAAAUGCAAGUUCUAAUUUCUGUAGGUCUGGGGAGGGGCUUGAGAGUCUGCAUCACUAACAAGCUCCCAGGUGAUUCUGUU